GAACGACGCCGAAGCAGACGAGAAGCGGGUCGCGGUAUCGACCCUGCGGCCCCAACUUUCGCCUCCAUAAUAUUUAAAAUUGCCCUCGCGAAAGAAGCGCCCUAGCGUUCCGUCUCAAGGCUUCUUCUUUCGUCGUCCAGGAAUCGACCCAGCCCUAGCGAUCCUUCCAGCAUCGUGUCGCGCCUUCUUUGAAACCGUCUUCUCACCUUCUUCUUCGUCGCAAUCGAGCUGUCUCACCAUCUCUACAGAAAACCCGCUUCUACUUCGUCGACCCUGUUUAUUCUGCUUCGUCGACCCCGUGCCCCACAAGCUCCAGCGGCUUGAUUGUAAAUUCCAUUGGAAUGUAAAGGUUUUCUUGCUUACAUUGGAGUACCUUUGUAACAUGCCAAAAGCAGAGCGUCUUGAUCGUAAAUUCCAUUGGAAUGUAAGGGUCUAUGUGUUUCCAUCAUUGGAGGUGCUAAAUAUUAAGGGAUUACAAGUAUUGGAGGAUUGGUUUGAAGGAGCAGGAGUUGCCAUAUUUGCCUCCUAAGCUCAAGAAAAUGAAGAUACAAAACAUCGGGUAGAAUGCUGCUUUGAACUGCAAGCAAGAAAAGCUGAAAAGUUAUAAUAAUGAUGUGCUAGGUUAUUUUACAAGAAGGGAUGAGCUAAAAUUUGCAAGAAAAGCUGCAAGCAAGACUGUUUCUUUCCUUAUUCUCUGUGAAGUUGUUAUAGAUGACCCAUCGUUGUACCCAAAGUUAAAUAUCGCAUCCUUGGAAAAGCUGAAAAUUUGUAAUAACCAUUUUACGUUUUUAUAAAGAUUUAUUC